rnacentral:rRNA from 1 species
UACGUAGGGGGCAAGCGUUGUCCGGAUUCAUUGGGCGUAAAGAGCGUGUAGGCGGCCGCUUAAGUCCUGCGUGAAAUCUCGGAGCUCAACUCCGAGCGGUCGUGGGAAACUGGGCGGCUUGAGUCCGGGAGAGGUGAGUGGAACUGCGAGUGUAGAGGUGAAAUUCGUAGAUAUUCGCAAGAACACCAGUGGCGAAGGCGGCUCACUGGCCCGGUACUGACGCUGAGGUGCGAAAGCGUGGGGAGCAACAGG